rnacentral:pre_miRNA from 1 species
UGUCAUCUGUCAAUUAAUGGCACUAUUAGAAUCUCACGGUGUGUAAAUAAAUCGUGUUUCUUCUAGUGGCAUGCAUGGGCAGUGACA